GAUGAACGCUGGCGGCGUGCCUAACACAUGCAAGUCGAACGAUGAAGCCCAGCUUGCUGGGGGGAUUAGUGGCGAACGGGUGAGUAACACGUGAGUAACCUGCCCUUAACUCUGGGAUAAGCCUGGGAAACGGGGUCUAAUACCGGACAGGAGCGCCUACCGCAUGGGGGGUGUUGGAAAGAUUUAUCGGUUUUGGAUGGAUUCGCGGCCUAUCAGCUUGUUGGUGAGGGAAUGGCUGACCAAGGCGACGACGGGUAGCCGACCUGGGAGGGUGACCGGCCCCACUAGGCCUGAGACACGGCGCAGCCCCCAACGGUACGCAACGGUGGGGAGUAGUACACAGUGGGCGAGAGCCUAGUGCGGCGACGCCGCGUGAGGGAUGUCGGCCUUGGGGUUGUGAAGCUCUUUCAGUUGAGAAGAAGCGAAAGUGACGGUACCUGCAGAAGAAGCACCGGCUAACUACGUG
rnacentral:rRNA from 1 species